rnacentral:rRNA from 1 species
GACUGGAGUUAUUUUUAGGGUAAUCGGAAUUAAUAGAGGAGUAGUGAAAUGCGUUGAUACUAUUAGGAACACCAAUGGCGAAGGCAGAUUACUGGAAGAUAACUGACGCUGAGGAACGAAAGCUAGGGGAGCAAACCGGAUUAGAGACCCGGGUAGUCCUAGCCGUAAACGAUGCUCGCUAGUUGCAUUUGCUGUUUUUUUAGCAGUGAGUGUGGCGAAGCUAACGCGUUAAGCGAGCCGCCUGGGAAGUACGACCGCAAGGUUGAAACUCAAAGGAAUUGGCGGGGAGACACACAACUAGUGGAUCAUGUGGUUUAAUUCGAUAUGAACCGAAGAACCUUACCAAGGUUUGACAUGCAAUUGCACGCCUCGGGAAACCGAGGAAGCCUUAGAGGGUAUUGCACAGCUGCUGCAUGGCUGUCGUCAGUUCGUUCCGUGAGGAGUGCCCUUAAGUGGGACAACGAACGUAACCCUUGCCCUAUGUUAUAUUUGUCAUAGGGAACUGCCUAGCCGAUGGUUGGGAGGAAGGAGAGGCAGACGUCAAGUCAUCAUGGCGCUUACGCCUUGGGCCACACACAUGAUACAAUGAGAUAGACAAAAGGUAGCCAAACGGUAACGUGGAGCUAAUCCUCUAAACUAUCUCUCAGUGGGGAUAGAGGUCUGAAACUCGACCUCUUGAACAUGGAAUUAGUAGUAAUCGCGGAUCAGCCACGCCGCGGUGAAUACGUUCUUGUCUCUUGCACACACUGCCCGUCAAGCCAACAAAGUCGGGGGUACCUGAAGGCUUACUUUAUGUAGGACGAGGGUAAAAUCGGCGAUGGGGACUAAGUCGUAACAAGGUACCCGUUCUGGAAGGAGCGGGUG